rnacentral:piRNA from 1 species
UAAAUGGAGAGUGUUGAGCAGGAGAUGGU